rnacentral:rRNA from 1 species
GACGAACGCUGGCGGCGUGCCUAACACAUGCAAGUCGAACGAGGCUCAACCAGUAGCAAUACUGGGGAAGGCCUAGUGGCGAACGGGUGAGUAACACGUGAGGAACCUGCCCCGAAGACCGGGAUAACCCUCCGAAAGGAGAGCUAAUACCGGAUACCCCCACUUGAUCGCAUGGUCGGGUGAGGAAAUGGAUUCCGCUUCGGGAGGGCCGUCGCGGCCUAUCAGCUAGUUGGCGGGGUAACGGCCCACCAAGGCGUCGACGGGUAGCUGGUCUGAGAGGACGAUCAGCCACACUGGGAC